rnacentral:rRNA from 1 species
UACGGAGGGGGCUAGCGUUGUUCGGAAUGACUGGGCGUAAAGCGCGCGUAGGCGGAUCGGAAAGUCGGGGGUGAAAUCCCGGGGCUCAACCCCGGAAUGGCCUUCGAAACUCCCGGUCUUGAGUUCGAGAGAGGUGGGUGGAAUUCCGAGUGUAGAGGUGAAAUUCGUAGAUAUUCGGAGGAACACCGGUGGCGAAGGCGGCCCACUGGCUCGACACUGACGCUGAGGUGCGAAAGCGUGGGGAGCAAACAGGAUUAGAUACCCCCGUAGUCC